CACCACAGCUCAGAAGUGAUGCUGCUUUGACUGAUUCCAUGUGUGGGACCAAGUUGUCCAUGCAACACCUGCUGCCCACACACAAGGACAUGGGUAAGACCAUGGAGCUCCUCUGCAAGGACACUUGGAUAGCAGGAGCCAUGCAGCCAUAUGCUCAACUCCACUCCUUUUUGCAUAAAUUAGGCACGUACUUGGCAUCUCCAGACUCUCAGUCUGAAUUCAGACAUGACAAAAUACAAAUGUGCAUAUAACUGCAAAAAAUGGGUCUUCAUUUUCCAAGAUGAAAUGAGAAUGAUCAGACUUCUUUUGCUUCACGAUAUUGUUUCUGUUACCCAAACCUAAAGUAUAUGUCCAGGCUAUAAUAAAGCCAAUUUGCUUCUUGCUGUAACACCAUGAACUUGCAUUGAGUUUAAAAAAAAAAAGGAUGAAUUUUGUCAUACUUGCUUGGAACCAACAACUACUUUCUCUCUCAUGUGCUCAUAAUUACUAUUUUUACCUAUAUGUGUGCAUUCAUUACAUAAACAAACAUAUGUGUACAAGUGUAACAUCAUUUUCAUGCCCAAAUCAAGUAGGCUCAUUGAAUUCAAAUAGUUUCUGCCUGCAAAGUUCUCCCAUAAAAUCCAACAAUACAUUUCAGAAUAAGAGUUAAAAGGAGACAAAAGAGAGAGAAAGAAACCAGCACUGUUGAAUGUAUAUGGAGCCUGGACUACUUCAUUUCUCUGUGUUGAAACUAAUUUGUUGCAUUAUGUUUCUAUCUCUUGCAUGUCCACAUUGCCACAAGCUCUUAUUUUCACAAAACAGACCCAUCAUUCUUUCCCACAGGAUGAAAACACGGCUAAAUACUUGCUGUAAAAAAACCAUUAUGUGAUGUGCUAGCCAAAUGAUACACUAAUACUCCGACGUAAGUGCUUUUUUGGCAACUACUCAAAGGAGCAAAAAUUACAUCGUUUUCAACCCCAGUGAUGAUAAGAUUACACAAAAGAAAGCAAAAUAUACAAAACGGGUUGAUGAUAAAUAUUGUACAAUAAAUGGAGAAUAAGCCGGUUUUCUUGCUGUCACACUCUUUGCAGUUUUCUGCAAUUUUUCUGUCACUUGAAGCAGCCCUACCAAUUAUUUCUAUUGUAUUGGGUGUCCCCUGUAAAAAAAAAAACAAAAAAAAACAGCUGACAAAAAUAAGGAUUUGAAAGAUUCCUUUUCAGGAACUUCCUCCACCAACUAUUUCCUCCUUUUCAAAUGGGGCUUUCAGAGAGGAAGUGGUGGCCAGCAGUAACAUUCCCCACAGGAGAGACCCAUCUUCCCUUCAUAUGUGGAGAAGCGAGAAUAUCCUCUUAUGAGGCAGAGCAGGAAAAGAAAUCAUCCUUUCAUCGGCAGUGUAUUCUGCCUGGAUAGGUGUCUGUGCCGUGUCCAUGAUGGUACCUUCUGAGGAGUCAUUGCCAGUUGGCUUCAAGCCCCACAUUGCAGAAGGACAAUCAAGAGCCCAUUGGUUUAUCCUCUACCCUACUUAUUUUGGUUGGAAACAAAUCAAGACAUUAACAACCAAAUAAAAGCAACCCUUGAUCUUCACUCAGAUCCUCCACCAUGAAAAGAUUUUCUUACAUCCUCAGUGAGGUGCUCAAAUAUUUCUCCUUGUUGCUAGCAGUCACAGAGUUGGUGAGAAAUGUUUCUCGCAGCCAUUCACCGUUUUUUUCCCCACAAGUUUGCAAACCCAAUUUCCUGCCUUCUGAGUAUUCCUUUACUCCUUGUGAGUAUUUACUAGGUAGGUGGAAGGAACCAAAUGCCAGGGCUGCAGAGGAGCUGUGUGCUUUGAAUAUACUUUGCUGUAGUUAGAGAUAUGUAAAUCACAGCUGAGCUCCCUAGGUAAGUUUUUAAACAGAGGGGAAAAAAUAAAGGAGUACAGCUAGGAUGGGGCAUGGACCCAGUGGAUGCUAGAGGGGGAAGUCUGCAGCAAAGAAACCAUCACCUGCCUUGUCAUUCUCAUGCGAUGCAGUCUGUUUAUUGUAGUCUCAAAAUGCCCAGUAUCCCACAGGGGCAGCGGCCUGGACCACAGCACCACACAUCUGGUGGCACACACCACACUCCCAGAAAGCAUCCAGAUCACUGGGGAGCCCCGAGCAGCCGCUGCUGUCCUGGGCUGCACGAUGCAGCCACGCAGCCUCCACAUGUGGCCGGGAGCCGAGGCUGCCCUGGGGAGCCAGACGAAAAGCAGGCGCUCACUGGCGGCCCAGCAGAACAUCCCUUGUGCACAGAUGUUGGGAAAGGCAGGCUCAGGGGGGCCACGGAGCAGGGCAGCAUCCCAGAGGUGUCAUAGCACCAGGAAUGUUUGCAAACGCCAUUUAGUGGAAGUCAGAUGCCUACUUAUCGCUUUCAAAGGGAGACGAGAUCGGCUGUUAGUGCUCGCAGGAUCAAAUGGGUAAAUUAGAGGCAGAAAAGAUCGCCAUUCAGGCUAAUAGGAUUUACACUCUCAAAUCAAGUUAUGCGGAUGCAUUAUAGGGAGUUCACAUUGAGGGGAGCAAUUACCCCAUUAGCACUAAUAGGAAUUGCACUAAGGCAUCAUGUGAGAAGACACAUGCAAGAAGACCGCAGCUUUCCCUCACUUAUGCAGGGUUGUUUUGCUGAAACAAGGCAAUAACUGAUGGAUCUCGGUCCUCCUAAACACGGGCUAGGGUUUAGAUGUUAAGUGUUGGCUUCAUCCAGUCCCUUCAUUCAUAAAGCUGGGAAGAACCUUCUUCCCAGAGAGCAGUUACAAGGAGAGCUCACCUCCCCGGUACCUGUUGCCACCUCUGCUAAUACGAAAACAAGGGCAUAAACCCAAGUCCUUCUGCUGCUAAGGAAGCUGCAUCCAGGGAUGUACCAUUUAUCUGUGCUUCCUUCUGACUCUCUGAAGCUGCUUGCUGGCUUUGUCUCCAGUUGCUGCUGUUUAUCACCAUCUCUUCACUGGCGAGUGCCCAGCGGACACAUUUACUCCCUCUGCAGUGCAUGGAGGCAUCUUAAACACAUACCUAUAACCCUAAUGACA